UGUGAGUCAGACACACACACACACUGCUGUUACUCUCCAGUUUCCUUAUACACUGUCCAAGCUCCAACAAGGAUAGAACACACUGAAGAGAGAAGAGGAUUUCAAAACCAAGAAGACACCAGAACAGAAUCUACUUCUUCCAUUUUGUUCAACCAGCUUUCUUUUUGCUCAUCCUUCAGUGAGCCUCUGCAUUCUGUUCAUCAUGGGAAAAGGAGCCAGUGACUUUGAUUGGCAAGAGAAGCACCCAGACACCACACAGUCCCAACCAGAGAAGAGACAACCCAACACAGACUCAGACAAACACCGCUCAGGCUCUGACUCAGGAGAGAACGGCUGUAAGAAGUGCUGCAUCAGGACCAGGAACUGUAUCAUGAGUCCUGAGUGUGGCCGUGCACUACACAUCUCCCAGGUCAUCGCAAUGUGUGGCAUGUGCAUUGGCAUGUGGACAUAGUCCAACCAUCUUUUCUCAAAGGACAACCAUUUGAUAUAUUCGCCAAGACCACAGAGAGAGAAACACAUCAAUGCUUUGACAUACAUUAAAUAAGAGUAUGUAAGCAAAGGAA